rnacentral:tRNA from 2 species
UGCGUAGCUCAGUUGGUUAGAGCACUCGACUGUUAAUCGAGCUGUCACGGGUUCGACUCCCGUCGCA